AUUUAAAGAUAUUUCGAUAUUGAAUUGAGGUAUUAAAUAGCGGACUGUAUUAUUUCUAAUCGCCCUUAAUAUACUUGGUCUAGCCUAGAACACGACCAGAUUAGAGUGGCUAAUACGUGGAGUAAACUACCAAGGAGGAAACAAUUAGAAGCCUAAGAGGGCACUAAACGUAAGAAUUUACCUAUUCAACUAAAUACUAACUAAUGUAAAUCUAAAAUUUUAGGGAUUUUAUAAUCCUCGUAGAAUAAAGAUUAUAAAAUCGGAAA